AUAUUUUUCUUUACAUAUUUUCUACAAUCCUCGUCUCAUCUCCUCCCCACCUUACACUUCAAUGGUGCAAAACGAAUCCAAGCACAAUCUAAAUCCUAUCAACCAAUAAGCCCAUUGAAGAAGAAUUUCCAGCCAUCACCUCUUAAUUUACCAAUCAAGAGACAAAAUUUUCCAUCUCCAUAAUUUACCAAUCAAAGAAAAGCUUAUGGGUUUAAGAAAUAAAAAGCUUUGGAGUUUUGGGCUCCAUAUCCUAACGUUUCAUAGCUCUCAAAAUGGCUCCUCCUGGUCAACCUCUCUUCUAAUAACCAACCGCAUCCUCGGCAUCAACUCCCAACCUAUCCUUAUUUUCUUCCUAAAUCUGCCCAUGCUGGCUUCCCCCUAUCUUUCAAACCCUUCCCCAGUCACUCAACAUCAAGGUGACUGACAGUACUGAUUAUCUUCUCUAGAAGACUCAUCCC
rnacentral:lncRNA from 1 species